GCCUCUAAGCAUCAGGUAACAUCAAAUCGUACCCCAAACCGACACAGGUGGUCAGGUAGAGAAUACCAAGGCGCUUGAGAGAACUCGGGUGAAGGAACUAGGCAAAAUGGUGCCGUAACUUCGGGAGAAGGCACGCUGACACGUAGGUGAAGUGAUUUACUCAUGGAGCUGAAGUCAGUCGAAGAUACCAGCUGGCUGCAACUGUUUAUUAAAAACACAGCACUGUGCAAACACGAAAGUGGACGUAUACGGUGUGACGCCUGCCCGGUGCCGGAAGGUUAAUUGAUGGGGUCAGCGCAAGCGAAGCUCCUGAUCGAAGCCCCGGUAAACGGCGGCCGUAACUAUAACGGUCCUAAGGUAGCGAAAUUCCUUGUCGGGUAAGUUCCGACCUGCACGAAUGGCGUAAUGAUGGCCAGGCUGUCUCCACCCGAGACUCAGUGAAAUUGAACUCGCUGUGAAGAUGCAGUGUACCCGCGGCAAGACGGAAAGACCCCGUGAACCUUUACUAUAGCUUGACACUGAACAUUGAGCCUUGAUGUGUAGGAUAGGUGGGAGGCUUUGAAGUGUGGACGCCAGUCUGCAUGGAGCCGACCUUGAAAUACCACCCUUUAAUGUUUGAUGUUCUAACGUGGACCCGUAAUCCGGGUUGCGGACAGUGUCUGGUGGGUAGUUUGACUGGGGCGGUCUCCUCCUAAAGAGUAACGGAGGAGCACGAAGGUUGGCUAAUCCUGGUCGGACAUCAGGAGGUUAGUGCAAUGGCAUAAGCCAGCUUGACUGCGAGCGUGACGGCGCGAGCAGGUGCGAAAGCAGGUCAUAGUGAUCCGGUGGUUCUGAAUGGAAGGGCCAUCGCUCAACGGAUAAAAGGUACUCCGGGGAUAACAGGCUGAUACCGCCCAAGAGUUCAUAUCGACGGCGGUGUUUGGCACCUCGAUGUCGGCUCAUCACAUCCUGGGGCUGAAGUAGGUCCCAAGGGUAUGGCUGUUCGCCAUUUAAAGUGGUACGCGAGCUGGGUUUAGAACGUCGUGAGACAGUUCGGUCCCUAUCUGCCGUGGGCGCUGGAGAACUGAGGGGGGCUGCUCCUAGUACGAGAGGACCGGAGUGGACGCAUCACUGGUGUUCGGGUUGUCAUGCCAAUGGCACUGCCCGGUAGCUAAAUGCGGAAGAGAUAAGUGCUGAAAGCAUCUAAGCACGAAACUUGCCCCGAGAUGAGUUCUCCCUGAGACUUAGAGUCUCCUGAAGGAACGUUGAAGACGACGACGUUGAUAGGCCGGGUGUGUAAGCGCAGCGAUGCGUUGAGCUAACCGGUACUAAUGAACCGUGAGGCUUAACCUU
rnacentral:rRNA from 1 species